GCCAUGUCCUCCAGCCGCACCCCACUGAUCGGCCUCCCAGUCAUCCCACCACCCUCUAGGUCUGGGCCCCGGAGGGAGCCCAGCGUGGAGGGUGGCCGAAGAACUGGGGGACCACCGCACCGAACCCUCGCUGGACCAAGCCCUCCAGGAGCGCGAUGAGGCCAUUGCCAAGAAGCGAGCUGUGGAGGCGGAGCUGGCCCGUUGCAGAGCCCGGCUACGAGCUGUGGAGGCUCAGCUGCUGGAAGUCCUGGAGGAGAAACUGAGGCUGCAGCAGGAGGUGGAGGCCUGGGAGGAAGACAUGCAACAACUGGUACAGCGGCAGGUGGAGACACAGCUACAAAGUGAGCGAGAGUCCAGAGGCACCACAAGAGCUUCCAGGGACCCCAGAGUGGCCAGGACAUCGUGGAGCCACUUCCCCCUGGGCCAGUGGGGGCGCUGGAAGUGAGAGACCUUAAGCUGUCCCCCUUGACCCAUUAAAAGCAAGAGGUCAGGCACCUCUGCAUCCGCAGGAUCCCCCA